AUGGCGUCCACGACGGCCGACGACGCGGGGGCGGGGCGGCGCAAGGCGGGCACGCCGCCGGCCCUGCCGCCGCCCCCGGCGGAGCAGGCCGUGAGGUGCCCGCGCUGCGACUCGCCCAACACCAAGUUCUGCUACUACAACAACUACAGCCUGUCGCAGCCGCGCCACUUCUGCAAGACCUGCCGCCGGUACUGGACCAAGGGCGGCGCGCUCCGCAGCGUCCCCGUCGGCGGCGGCUGCCGCAAGAACAAGCGCUCCCGCUCCGCCUCCUCCGCCUCCCGCGGCCUCUCCCUCACCACCCCGGCCGGGGGCGCCGCCGACCAGGACCAGCACGCCGCGAGGAUGGGCGUGGGCGGGUUUCCUGGUGGCGGCGGCGACUUCCGCGGCGUGGUCGGCAUGCUGCCGGUGCUCCACUCCCCGGCCGUCGUCGGCCAGUACGUGCCGUUCGGGGACUGGUCCUCGGGGGAAACCAACGGCGGUGGCGCCGCACGCCACGCAACCAACGGAUCAGGAGGAGCCGGGAACGGAGCGGCGAGCAGCGCCAUCGCGUCGUCCAUCGAGUCGCUCAGCUUCAUCAACCAGGACCUCCACUGGAAGCUGCAGCAGCAGCGGGUCGCCACCAUGUUCCUCGGCCCGCCUAGCGCCUCCUCCUCCUCCCACCCCCACGCCGUCGGUGGUGGCAGCAAUGGCAUGCCAGCCGCCGCGCAGUUCGGGGGAGGCGGCACCUUCCUGCAGAUGGCGGGGCUAUCCGGCUGCAUGGAGACGCUGCCGGCGGCCACGACGUGGUUCAUGGAUAACUCCUACGCGCUGCCUUCCCCGCCCCAACCCGCUGCCGGCGUGGGCGCCGCCAGUAGCAACAUCAACAGCAGCCGGAGUAGCGGCGGCGGCGGGGACGAUAACGCCACGUCGAACGACAACAACAACUGCGGCGGCUCGAUCCCGUCCUGGGGCGACAUUUCGACGUUCGCAAUGCUGCCGUAG
rnacentral:rRNA from 1 species